AUUGUAAAGCUCUGUCCUUAGGGAAGAACCGUGGGUAUAGUUAAUGAUACCCACCUGACGGUACCCUUGGAGGAAGCACUGGCUGACUACGUGCCAGCAGCCGCGGUAAUACGUAGAGUGCAAGCGUUGUCCGGAAUUAUUGGGCGUAAAGGGUACGCAGGCGGAUAAUCAAGUCAAGCGUGAAAGGUGUCGGCUUAACCGACAGACUGCGUUUGAAACUGGUUAUCUUGAGUGUAACAGAGGAGAGUGGAAUUCCUAGUGUAGUGGUGAAAUACGUAGAUAUUAGGAAGAACACCAGUGGCGAAGGCGACUCUCUGGGUUAACACUGACGCUGAGGUACGAAAGCUGGGGGAGCGAACGGGAUUAGAUACCCCGGUAGUCCCAGCCGUAAACGAUGGAUACUAGGUGUUGGAGGUUCGAAUCCUUCAGUGCCGGAGUUAACGCAUUAAGUAUCCCGCCUGGGGAUUACGAUCGCAAGAUUGAAACUCAAAGGAAUUGACGGGGGCCCGCACAAGCGGUGGAGCAUGUGGUUUAAUUCGAAGCAACGCGAAGAACCUUACCGAGAAUUGACAUCCCGUGACCAUCUAUGAAAGUAGAAUUUGGCACUUAGNGCCNCACGGANACAGGNGGNGCAUGGCUGUCGUCAGCUCGNGUCGNGAGANGNUGGGUUAAGUCCCGCAACGAGCGC
rnacentral:rRNA from 1 species